rnacentral:rRNA from 1 species
GACGAACGCUUGCGGCGUGCUUAACACAUGCAAGUCGAACGGAAAGGCCCUGCUUUUGUGGGGUGCUCGAGUGGCGAACGGGUGAGUAACACGUGAGUAACCUGCCCUUGACUUUGGGAUAACUUCAGGAAACUGGGGCUAAUACCGGAUAGGAGCUCCUGCUGCAUGGUGGGGGUUGGAAAGUUUCGGCGGUUGGGGAUGGACUCGCGGCUUAUCAGCUUGUUGGUGGGGUAGUGGCUUACCAAGGCUUUGACGGGUAGCCGGCCUGAGAGGGUGACCGGCCACAUUGGGACUGAGAUACGGCCCAGACUCCUACGGGAGGCAGCAGUGGGGAAUAUUGCACAAUGGGCGGAAGCCUGAUGCAGCAACGCCGCGUGCGGGAUGACGGCCUUCGGGUUGUAAACCGCUUUCGCCUGUGACGAAGCGUGAGUGACGGUAAUGGGUAAAGAAGCACCGGCUAACUACGUGCCAGCAGCCGCGGUGAUACGUAGGGUGCGAGCGUUGUCCGGAUUUAUUGGGCGUAAAGGGCUCGUAGGUGGUUGAUCGCGUCGGAAGUGUAAUCUUGGGGCUUAACCCUGAGCGUGCUUUCGAUACGGGUUGACUUGAGGAAGGUAGGGGAGAAUGGGAUUCCUGGUGGAGCGGUGGAAUGCGCAGAUAUCAGGAGGAACACCAGUGGCGAAGGCGGUUCUCUGGGCCUUUCCUGACGCUGAGGAGCGAAAGCGUGGGGAGCGAACAGGCUUAGAUACCCUGGUAGUCCACGCUGUAAACGGUGGGUACUAGGUGUGGGGUCCAUUCCACGGGUUCCGUGCCGUAGCUAACGCUUUAAGUACCCCGCCUGGGGAGUACGGCCGCAAGGCUAAAACUCAAAGGAAUUGACGGGGCCCCGCACAAGCGGCGGAGCAUGCGGAUUAAUUCGAUGCAACGCGUAGAACCUUACCUGGGUUUGACAUGGAUCGGGAGUGCUCAGAGAUGGGUGUGCCUCUUUUGGGGUCGGUUCACAGGUGGUGCAUGGCUGUCGUCAGCUCGUGUCGUGAGAUGUUGGGUUAAGUCCCGCAACGAGCGCAACCCUUGUUCACUGUUGCCAGCACGUUAUGGUGGGGACUCAGUGGAGACCGCCGGGGUCAACUCGGAGGAAGGUGGGGAUGACGUCAAGUCAUCAUGCCCCUUAUGUCCAGGGCUUCACGCAUGCUACAAUGGCUGGUACAGAGAGUGGCGAGCCUGUGAGGGUGAGCGAAUCUCGGAAAGCCGGUCUCAGUUCGGAUUGGGGUCUGCAACUCGACCUCAUGAAGUCGGAGUCGCUAGUAAUCGCAGAUCAGCAACGCUGCGGUGAAUACGUUCCCGGGGCU